UGUAGUUAGACUCGUAAAUAAACAAUAAGGGUUAAACCUGUUCCUCUGACGAGAAUAUUAACACCCUGGUAGACUGUAGUGUUCAGGUCACUGUCAACCAACACCCUGGUAGACUGUAGUGUUCAGGUCACUGCCAACCAACACCCUGGUAGACUGUAGUGUUCAGGUCACUGCCAACCAACACCCUGGUAGACUGUAGUGUUCAGGUCACUGUCUAACAACACCCUGGUAGACUGUAGUGUUCAGGUCACUGUCAACCAACACCCUGGUAGACUGUAGUGUUCAGGUCACUGCCAACCAACACCCUGGUAGACUGUAGUGUUCAGGUCACUGCCAACCAACACCCUGGUAGACUGUAGUGUUCAGGUCACUGUCAACCAACACCCUGGUAGACUGUAGUGUUCAGGUCACUGUCGACCAACACCCUGGUAGACUGUAGUGUUCAGGUCACUGUCUAACAACACCCUGGUAGACUGUAGUGUUCAGGUCACUGCCAACCAACACCCUGGUAGACUGUAGUGUUCAGGUCACUGUCAACCAACACCCUGGUAGACUGUAGUGUUCAGGUCACUGUCUACCAACACCCUGGUAGACUGUAGUGUUCAGGUCACUGCCAACCAACACCCUGGUAGACUGUAGUGUUCAGGUCACUGUCGACCAACACCCUGGUAGACUGUAGUGUUCAGGUCACUGUCUAACAACACCCUGGUAGACUGUAGUGUUCAGGUCACUGCCGACCAACACCCUGGUAGACUGUAGUGUUCAGGUCACUGCCAACCAACACCCUGGUAGACUGUAGUGUUCAGGUCACUGUCAACCAACACCCUGGUAGACUGUAGUGUUCAGGUCACUGUCAACCAACACCCUGGUAGACUGUAGUGUUCAGGUCACUGUCAACCAACACCCUGGUAGACUGUAGUGUUCAGGUCACUGCCAACCAACACCCUGGUAGACUGUAGUGUUCAGGUCACUGCCAACCAACACCCUGGUAGACUGUAGUGUUCAGGUCACUGCCAACCAACACCCUGGUAGACUGUAGUGUUCAGGUCACUGUCAACCAACACCCUGGUAGACUGUAGUGUUCAGGUCACUGUCUACCAACACCCUGGUAGACUGUAGUGUUCAGGUCACUGCCAACCAACACCCUGGUAGACUGUAGUGUUCAGGUCACUGUCUAACAACACCCUGGUAGACUGUAGUGUUCAGGUCACUGUCAACCAACACCCUGGUAGACUGUAGUGUUCAGGUCACUGCCAACCAACACCCUGGUAGACUGUAGUGUUCAGGUCACUGCCAACCAACACCCUGGUAGACUGUAGUGUUCAGGUCACUGUCUAACAACACCCUGGUAGACUGUAGUGUUCAGGUCACUGUCUAACAACACCCUGGUAGACUGUAGUGUUCAGGUCACUGCCAACCAACACCCUGGUAGACUGUAGUGUUCAGGUCACUGUCAACCAACACCCUGGUAGACUGUAGUGUUCAGGUCACUGCCAACCAACACCCUGGUAGACUGUAGUGUUCAGGUCACUGUCAACCAACACCCUGGUAGACUGUAGUGUUCAGGUCACUGUCAACCAACACCCUGGUAGACUGUAGUGUUCAGGUCACUGCCAACCAACACCCUGGUAGACUGUAGUGUUCAGGUCACUGCCAACCAACACCCUGGUAGACUGUAGUGUUCAGGUCACUGUCUAACAACACCCUGGUAGACUGUAGUGUUCAGGUCACUGUCAACCAACACCCUGGUAGACUGUAGUGUUCAGGUCACUGCCAACCAACACCCUGGUAGACUGUAGUGUUCAGGUCACUGCCAACCAACACCCUGGUAGACUGUAGUGUUCAGGUCACUGUCAACCAACACCCUGGUAGACUGUAGUGUUCAGGUCACUGUCUACCAACACCCUGGUAGACUGUAGUGUUCAGGUCACUGCCAACCAACACCCUGGUAGACUGUAGUGUUCAGGUCACUGUCGACCAACACCCUGGUAGACUGUAGUGUUCAGGUCACUGUCUAACAACACCCUGGUAGACUGUAGUGUUCAGGUCACUGCCGACCAACACCCUGGUAGACUGUAGUGUUCAGGUCACUGCCAACCAACACCCUGGUAGACUGUAGUGUUCAGGUCACUGUCAACCAACACCCUGGUAGACUGUAGUGUUCAGGUCACUGUCAACCAACACCCUGGUAGACUGUAGUGUUCAGGUCACUGUCAACCAACACCCUGGUAGACUGUAGUGUUCAGGUCACUGCCAACCAACACCCUGGUAGACUGUAGUGUUCAGGUCACUGCCAACCAACACCCUGGUAGACUGUAGUGUUCAGGUCACUGCCAACCAACACCCUGGUAGACUGUAGUGUUCAGGUCACUGUCAACCAACACCCUGGUAGACUGUAGUGUUCAGGUCACUGUCUACCAACACCCUGGUAGACUGUAGUGUUCAGGUCACUGUCAACCAACACCCUGGUAGACUGUAGUGUUCAGGUCACUGUCUAACAACACCCUGGUAGACUGUAGUGUUCAGGUCACUGUCUAACAACACCCUGGUAGACUGUAGUGUUCAGGUCACUGCCAACCAACACCCUGGUAGACUGUAGUGUUCAGGUCACUGCCAACCAACACCCUGGUAGACUGUAGUGUUCUUUAAUGAGUAACUGCAGAUGACUUGUAUUUACUACUUUAAAUACCACAUAUUAAUUAUUUUACACACACUAACUAUUAUCUAUUUGAUUGUUUCAUACUGAAACCUGUUGAAACUGGCCAUUUCAUGUCAUUUUUCUGUUCUUUUUUUUCUCUGGUUUUUUUUGUCCAAACAGAUUGAAGAUAGUUGAUAUAGAACCCUUUGUAGCCUGUCUUUACCCCCCUGUGUUCUGUCUCUACCCCCCUGUAGCCUGUCUUUACCCCCCUGUAGUCUGUCUCUACCCCCCUGUAGACUGUCUUUACCCCCCUGUAGUCUGUCUUUACCCCCCUGUGUUCUGUCUCUACCCCCCUGUAGCCUGUCUCUACCCCCCUGUAGCCUGUCUUUACCCCCCUGUAGCCUGUCUUUACCCCUCUGUGUUCUGUCUUUACCCCCCUGUAGUCUGUCUUUACCCCUCUGUGUUCUGUCUCUACCCCCCUGUAGCCUGUCUCUACCCCCCUGUAGCCUGUCUCUACCCCCCUGUAGCCUGUCUUUACCCCCCUGUAGACUGUCUUUACCCCCCUGUAGCCUGUCUUUACCCCCCUGUAGCCUGUCUUUACCCCCCUGUAGUCUGUCUUUACCCCCCUGUAGUCUGUCUUUACCCCCCUGUAGUCUGUCUUUACCCCCCUGUAGUCUGUCUCUACCCCCCUGUAGACUGUCUUUACCCCCCUGUAGUCUGUCUCUACCCCCCUGUAGCCUGUCUCUACCCCCCUGUAGCCUGUCUCUACCCCCCUGUAGCCUGUCUUUACCCCCCUGUAGCCUGUCUUUACCCCUCUGUGUUCUGUCUUUACCCCCCUGUAGUCUGUCUUUACCCCUCUGUGUUCUGUCUCUACCCCCCUGUAGCCUGUCUCUACCCCCCUGUAGCCUGUCUCUACCCCCCUGUAGCCUGUCUUUACCCCCCUGUAGACUGUCU